rnacentral:tRNA from 6 species
GCCGGCGUAGCUCAGUUGGUAGAGCAGCGCAUUCGUAAUGCGAAGGUCGGGGGUUCGACUCCUCUCGCCGGCACCA